rnacentral:piRNA from 1 species
GAAAUGUAUUUCACAGAUGAGAGGAA